rnacentral:rRNA from 1 species
AUACGGAGGGAGCAAGCGUUAUUCGGAAUCACUGGGCGUAAAGGACGCGUAGGCGGGUUUGUAAGUCAGGUGUGAAAUCCUACAGCUCAACUGUAGAACUGCACUUGAAACUACAGACCUAUAGUAUGGAAGGGGCAGAUGGAAUUAGUGGUGUAGGGGUAAAAUCCGUAGAUAUCACUAGGAAUACCGAAAGCGAAGGCGAUCUGCUGGGACAUUACUGACGCUGAGGCGUGAAAGCGUGGGGAGCAAACAGGAUUAGAAACCCCGGUAGUCC